UUGUUUGUUUGUAAAGACUCAGAAGAUACGAAAUGGCAAGAGUUUGUAGUGCUGGCGGACACGAGGCAGAGCCAAGCGAGGCCCCGUCCCACGGGGCUGCCCGCCAAAGCACGAUUCCCACAGGUAGGUAGACAGUGGUUGGAGCGCUAGACUCGUAAUGAUCCCUCCGCUGGUUCACCAACGGAGA
rnacentral:misc_RNA from 1 species